rnacentral:rRNA from 1 species
GAUGAACGCUGGCGGCGUGCCUAAUACAUGCAAGUCGAGCGAACAGAUGAGGAGCUUGCUCCUCUGACGUUAGCGGCGGACGGGUGAGUAACACGUGGAUAACCUACCUAUAAGACUGGGAUAACUUCGGGAAACCGGAGCUAAUACCGGAUAAUAUAUUGAACCGCAUGGUUCAAUAGUGAAAGACGGUUUUGCUGUCACUUAUAGAUGGAUCUGCGCCGCAUUGGCUAGUUGGUAAGGUAACGGCUUACCACGGCAACGAUGCGUAGCCGACCUGAGAGGGUGAUCGGCCACACUAGAACGGAGCCACGGUCCAGACUCCUACGGGAGGCAGCAGUAGGGAACCUUCGGCAAUGGGCGAAAGCCUGACGGAGCAACGCCGCGUGAGUGAUGAAGGUCUUCGGAUCGUAAAACUCUGUUAUUAGGGAAAAACAAAUGUGUAAGGAACUAUGCACGUCGUGACGGUACCUAAUCAGAAAGCCCCGGCUAACUACGUG